AUGGAUAAAGAGAACACCGACUUUGAAAGAUGCUUGCAAAAUUAGCCGAAGUUGGAUGUGAAUUUGGUGCCGUUCCCUAGACAGAUUCCGUUGACAUGGAAAAUAAAAGUAAGUUAAAGACAUUCAAUGGCCAAAUAUCAAUGAUUGGAUAUAUGUCAAGAUGAAAUUUAAAACUUAUCCAACCAAAACAACAACGAGGUCAGCUAGCUCUCGUUAUGAAAGCGGUAAUUCACUUGCGCUCACUCUUCCAGCUGAUGUUGAGUGCUCGGGAUCGACAUUAGUUAGUUGAAUCGUUACUCUAUCACUAACGCUAUCUUGGAGUUUUUGAUCGAAAGUGCAACCCGUAGCAACGGAAACAGUCCUCACCACUGGUGGCAGUCAUGCACAAAGGAGCCGUUCGAAUUUACUAUAGAGCACGAAAUUGAAUCUGUUUUCCCAACCUGCUGGCAAUAACUGAAGGAGACCAAUGGUCUCGGUUCAAGAUUUGACUGCAAGCCACUGACCAUAAAUACCCGUCACGUCGGCGCUGUCGAUUGCAUCAUGAUCACUAUUAUUGACGAUCCAAAUGUUGUCUAUAUAUCGUCGUGAUCGGAGCUGUUAAUCGACUUCGGAUGGUCAACAUUCUUGUAGGAAGAAUAAGAAAAGCUGGUUUGCUGAUGUUUGGAACAUAAAAACAAGUGAGGACCCCGGUGAAUAGCCAAACUGAUCUACGAACUACUGAAAAUAAACGGAACCUCCGAUCAACAGUACGAUUGAGGACGGAUUUGACAACGAGCUCAACAACGAUGGUCGAUCUCAUGGAAUGUACACGCCGGAAAACACAUCCAAUAUGCACGCACAGAUGUUUAGGAUUUGCUCUGGUUGAUCCCAACACUUCCUUGCUGUUGAUGAAGCCUGUGCAAUCUCUGGAGGAGAGAAUGGAUCCACAAUAUUCUCGUUCCGAUUCCAAGCUAUUUGUAAUUCUAUAAAAACCACAUCAAAUUCGUCAACUCUCAGGAAAUUAAUCAUGCUGGCGGAGAGCGACUUUCCAGAUAUCACUUCCCAGCACUCCAGUAGUGGCCGAUCGGCGAAAAGAAGGACGAACCGUUCAUCAUCAUGAUGCUGAAAACAAAUAAGACCGCACGUGGACGUUUGGUCGGCCUUCCUUUUUCAAAUAUCAGAUAUCUGCCCAAAAUAAUUGUGGGCUACUACUACCAGUUUAUUUGCCGAUAAUUGGCAUUAAAAAUUUGGACAAAAAAGUUGAAUUACAAUCGG